UCAUUCGUAUUCGCCAUCAUACGUCCAACCGUGCAUUUGAUAUGCAUAUAUAUAUGCAUCACGAGCCACGGUUGGGCUGUAUGAUGGCGAUAUCGAUUGA
rnacentral:pre_miRNA from 1 species